AACGUAGGAGACAAACGUUAUCCGGAGUUACUGGGCGUAAAGGGCGCGUAGGCGGCCCGCACAAGUCUGCGGUGAAAACCCCCGGCUUAACCGGGGGCCGGCCGUGGAAACUGUCGGGCUAGAGGCCGGGAGAGGGCAGCGGAAUUCCCGGUGUAGCGGUGAAAUGCGUAGAGAUCGGGAGGAACACCGGCGGCGAAGGCGGCUUCCUGGACCGACACUGACGCUGAGG
rnacentral:rRNA from 1 species